GCCAAUUCAAGGCUUUUGCCUUGAGAGAUCCACCCCAUUUGGAAGAGAAAUGAAAGGAAAAUAGCUUCGUGAGCCUUCCACCCUAGAAGAGAGAAAGAGUUAAGUGAAAAGGCAAACUAAGUGAGGGCUCGAUUUUGUAAGAUUUUAGAGUACCCAUGAGCUCUUUCUUGCUAUUUUCCUAUAAUCAAGGUUCAUUGCUCCUAGAAAUUCAUCCUUUAUUGAGAGAUAUGGGUUAGAUCUCAUGGUAGCUAAGAAAUAUCAAGGAAAAGGACUAGAAACCACAAGGAAGAAAGUGUGAAUGAUUCAUGGGUUCAAGGAAAGUUUAGAAAAAGUCUUCCAAGAUUUGAAAGAAAUAGAUGCAUGUAUGUGGGUUAAUCUUAGAAGUAUGGUGAUUUAAAGCUAGACAAAUGAUGGGUAAGUGCUUUUAAUCUUGAGAUCAUAAGUGGAGAGGAAAAAUAAAAAUAUGUAUUGAUUAUUUGUGCUUGUGGUAGCAAGGGUGACCGAGGAUGUGAGGAGUUAGUGAGUUGCAUGUGGAAUUCAAGGUAAAAAUUGGAGGAUAAGUAGGGAAUGUGGGCAUACUAUGUUACAUUGGAUUUGGUUAGUUUAAAGUUUAUAGAUUUCAUUUUAAAUUAUUGUGAAUAAUAAGGAUGAAAAAUGUGAAAUUAGAUUAAAGAGUCAUUGAUUAAGGUACUGCCCAUAUAUGCAUACAAUUAAGCAUAAAUACAGAAGGCUUGCCAUGGUGGUGUAUUGGAGGAGGUAACGGGCGACCAGCAAGUAAAAUUAACUAGAGACGCACCCGAAUCAAUAACGACGUAGCGUCCCAUUAUUGUGAGAGAUUCGAGAGUAGGCCGAAUAUCACAUCGGGAUAGUGUGACCCUUGUGCACAAGUGAACUCUGGCUAGAGAACCUUUGGGUCACCAACGAGCUAUUAAACGUGGCUAGGCCAAGGUUUGUGAUAUAUAUACAUGACAAGGCCACAGGUUGAUAUAUGUGGCUAGGCCACAAGUUGAUAAACAUGGUUAUGACUACAUGAUUUCUCCAAUAUCGGUCAACAUCAUUGAGACUGUCAUGGCUGUGGAAAUCUGGAGGAGGGGGGCUUCUCGAAUGUUAAUACGUGAAAAUGGGUCCACGAGUUGAUUAUCGCGAUUACCUAUUCGAGAGUGACAUCUCUUUGGGUUUUCAACAUGAAUUCUUUCGCAUGAGAAGUGAUCAGUUAGUGUGCUUUUCAUCGGCAUAUUAUGGUCCACUACGAUGUAGGUAAAGGUAUCUCCUAGCACCCUAUUCUGAGUCACUCCGCUAUUAGAGGUUGGGUCAUUUAUAGUAUAUUUUGUUUCGGAAGUAAACAAUUGUAUAGAAUGUAAACAUAUAUUUAUAUGAUGAUGAAACAUAAUGUAUAGAGAGAAUAUUUUCUAUUGAUGAAAUAGUGAUGUUUAUGAUACUUUUGACAGACAUGUUAUGGUUUGACAAAAUGAUAAUUGUGAAGGCUUGUUUAGGAUUUGACAGGUUCUUUCACAAAGUCUUGAACACCGAUAACGAUUAAGUAGAGGGUCAUUACAGUUUUGGAGAUGCCCAUGCAAUGGUCUACCUAAGUCUUUUCAAGUGCAAUCAUUUUAUAAUGGUUGUUGAAUCCAAUUUGAACUACCAUUGAUGUUGCAACUAGUGGGGCUCUUAUGGCCAAGUCUAUUGGUAAUGCUUAUGACUUGUUGAAAGAGAUGGCAUCAAACAACUAUCAGUGGCAUUUUAAAAGGGCUCUGCCAAAGAGUGUAAUUGGUGUUCACGAGCUAGAUAUUAUUAAUGUAUUGUCUGCUCAAGUAACCUUUUUCACUAAGAAAAUUGGUUCUUUUGGAGUGCAUUUAGCAUAGAGUCCUUUUUAUUACUUGUGAUUAUUGCGAUAAUGGACACUCUAGUGAUCAUUAUCUUAUAAGUAUGAACUUUGCUCAGUUUGUGGGGAAUAAGCUGCAAAACAAGCCAUAUUCAAACACUUAUAAUCUAAGGUGGAGGAAUCACCCCAACUUCUCUUGAAACAACAAUCAAGGUUCUUCAUUAGCUUUGAGACUAAAUUUUGGUUUUAGUUUUCCACAACAACCUAGAAGCCCAGUGCAAGAAAAAAAGUCAUUUUUGGAAGGGCUGCUCAUGCAAUAUAUGGUUAAGACAAAUGCCCUUAUUCAUAGUUAGACAACUUCAUUGAAAAUCUUGAGAUUUAAGUAGGGUAAUUAGCUAAUGUUGUUAAUAAUAGGCCUCAAAGGACCCUACCGAGUAAUAUUAAGCCUAAUCCUAAGAGGAAAAGCAAGGAAUUUUCUAUGGCAGUAACCCUUCAGAAUGGUAAAAAGGUUGGCAGUGGUAGUAAACAAAAAGUACCAUAAAAGAAGUCAAUUAAGAAUGAAUCAGAAGUUGGAAACUUAGACAAUCAAGUACAAGUCAAGGAUGCAUAGGCAGCACACAUUCCUUUUUCAUUUCCUUAACACUUUCAGAAGAAAGAGUUGGACAAUUAAUUUUACAAAUUUCUAGAGGUAUUCAAGAAGCUCCACAUCAACAUCCUUUUUGUUGAAGCUUUGGAGUAGAUGUUUUCAUAUGUUAAGUUUUUGAAAGAUAUCUUGACAAUAACAAGGAGAUUGGGUGAGUAUGUGAUAGUGGCACUCACUGAGGAGUGCAGUGCUAUUAUUUAGAACAAGCUUCCAUCAAAACUCAUGGAUCCAGGUCACUAUUCCUUACAUAAUUGGUGUGUUAAUUUCUGUUGAAGCCUUAAAUAACUAAAGGGCUAGUAUUAAUUUGAUGCCUUUGUUGAUCUAUCGAAAGUUAGGAUUAGGGAAAUUAAGCCAACCACAAUGACAUUGGAACUUGUUGAUCGAUUUCUCACUUAUCCUCGAGGUAUCAUGGAAGAUGUUUUUGGUAAAGGUUAAUAAAUUCAUUUUCUCGGUUGACUUCAUUGUUCUUAAUAUAUAAAAGGAUUGUGAGGUUCCUAUCAUACUUGGGAGACCUUUUCUAUGAACUGCUAGAGCUCUAUUGAUGUGGAGAAAGGAGAGUUUACUUUGAAAGUGCAAGACCAAGUGGUAACUUUCAAUAUUUUUAUAACUUUAAAGUUUCCCAAUCAACAUGAUGAAAGCUUUGUAGUGAGUGUUGUGAAUAGUGUCACUUAUGAGGUGUUUGAUGAUAAUUAUCCCCGUAACCUUUUAAAGGCAUUGUUAGUUUCUAGCUUUGAUAGGGAUGAUGUUGAUUUUGUGGAAUAUGUGAACUUCUUGGAUACAUCAUCUCAUGUCUUGAGGACACCAUUUGAAUCCUUGGAUAUUUCUACUUCAUCUUCACCAGCAAAGCCAUCCAUUAAAAAGCCUCCUUGCAUUGGAUCCUAAACCUCGACCUUCACGUUUGAGAGUCCUCAGAAGGUGUGAAGAGAUUAACCUAGUACUGAAUUGGGAGCAAUGCCACUUCCUGGUCCAAGAAGGAAUUGUUCUUGUCCACAAGGUUUCAAGUAAAGGGUUAGAAGUGGACAAGGCCAAGAUUGAGACAAUUGCGAAGCUUCCACCAUCAAAUUUAGUGAAAGGCAUUAUAAGUUUUUUAAGACAUGCUAGCUUUUAU